rnacentral:rRNA from 1 species
GUUGAUCCUGGCUCAGAUUGUACGCUGGCGGCAUGCCUUACACAUGCAAGUCGAACGGUAACAGGUCUUCGGAUGCUGACGAGUGGCGAACGGGUGAGUAAUACAUCGGAACGUGCCUAGUAGUGGGGGAUAACUACUCGAAAGAGUGGCUAAUACCGCAUGAGAUCUACGGAUGAAAGCAGGGGAUCGCAAGACCUUGUGCUACUAGAGCGGCCGAUGGCAGAUUAGGUAGUUGGUGGGAUAAAAGCUUACCAAGCCGACGAUCUGUAGCUGGUCUGAGAGGACGAUCAGCCACACUGGGACUGAGACACGGCCCAGACUCCUACGGGAGGCAGCAGUGGGGAAUUUUGGACAAUGGGCGCAAGCCUGAUCCAGCAAUGCCGCGUGCAGGAUGAAGGCCUUCGGGUUGUAAACUGCUUUUGUACGGAACGAAAAGCCCUGGGUUAAUACCCUGGGGUCAUGACGGUACCGUAAGAAUAAGCACCGGCUAACUACGUGCCAGCAGCCGCGGUAAUACGUAGGGUGCGAGCGUUAAUCGGAAUUACUGGGCGUAAAGCGUGCGCAGGCGGUUU